GUUAAUUUUGAUAAUACGUCUUUGAUAGUGGUAUCAAAACGUACUUACAUGCAUUAUGAUAUUAACAAUACAAAGAGUGAGGACGUGCUGUGUAGUGAAAUGUUUAAGAAAUGUAUAAUCAAGCCAGCGAACCGUGAGAAAAUGAUGUCUCGGUCCGCGCUGGUUCUCGCCGCACUUGGCCUCGGCCUGUCCACUUUCAGCGUUCGUCAGAUGAUCCUAAGCCAGACCAGACGAGUCUAGAUGUUUGGAGAAGAUUCUAGAACGUUCUGGAGUACUCUAGAACCCGUCAGAGACCAAAGCUUGCCGACACCACCACGGCUAUGUAGCAUAGUGAAUUCUUAGAAGACAUUUCUGAACGUAUAUCCGUUUAGUUAUUUUUUUCUUUCGCCUAAUUAUGCGUUCCAGAAUGUCUUGUAUGUGUAUGAAGUAAAAAAAAAAUGUAAAUUCAGAUUAUGAGAGGAAAAAAAUAGUAAUUUAUUUUUUAUUAAAUUUUUUUCUCUGUAUGAGUGUUACCACCUAUUUUAGAUAAUUUAAGAGACGACUGUAUGGUGGAUAUUGUGUGAACAUGUGUAAAAAGCGUCGAUGCGGUGUUUGUGAUGGCAACCAAAUAAAAAUAGACAGUA